AAGAAAAAAGAGCUCCUGGGCCAGAGCCGAGCUAGCUGAUCGCCCCACCGUCACCGGCCGUGGCUAGCCUCCGAUAGGUACCUGCAUGUGCUUCUCUCGUUCAGCUUAGCUAUAGCAUUCGCGCUUGACGACGUUCCCCUCCGCAGCGGUUCAUGGCUAGCUUACAUUAGGUUAAUCUGUAGCGAGCGUUCCUUCGUUCUUGGCUGGAUUAAUUUAGGUGGUCCUCUAUUUUAUUUCAUUUUUAUUUCUAUUCACUGUUGCUCAUGUAAUUCCUAGCUGUGGCGCCAUGGCCAUUUGCUGAUUUCGUUCUUGCUGGGGAAUGUACUGCCUGAUCGAUCAGCUAGCUGGCGAGGAAUUGCAUCUGGGGAUCGGGGCUGCCUGCAUGGCCAUGGAUUCCGUGCGCUCUCCUCGAGUAUUUUUUUUCCUUUUCGUUCUUGUCGUCGCUAGCUGGAGCUGCGUGCGUUGGGACAAUUUUACUCAUGGGUCCAGGUUUGCUAGUCGCUACCGCCUGCGUGCCAUUGCUACUCCUAAAGAAGAUAGACAACUGUUGCAUUCCGUUCUUUGCUUAGCCAUUUUCCUGCCCGCCUCACUCACUUUGGGCAUUUGUUCGGGUGCUUAAUUCUGCACAGACCAAUGCUUCCCGUCCCCUCCAUUGAUCCAAGAAAAAAAGAUGAGUGCUGCCCAGCGCCAUGAUCCAUGCAGCAGAACUGUAGCAGCACGCUGCAUGACGUGCUCCACUGUUCUUGGCCCGAUUUUUCUGUCUUUCUCGCCAUGAAUCAAUGCAACCGUUCCCUCGCAUCCUGCCCCCGCAUUUAACUCCCCCAUCUCGCGAGCAAUGUUAAGGUUCUUCUUCUCCUCCUUGAUUAGUUCUGCCCGCAUUAAGGGCCUCUGGCCCUUUCUGCCGAUUUACUCGCUUCUGCCCUGCAUGCCUUUCCGUUUUUACUCCCGCCAUCAACUGAUCGAUCGAUCGAUCAGUCGCCUUUAAUACCGGCGCAGGGGACGCACGCGGCCGCUAGCCGCAUUCAUCACGGGUGGAUACAUGGAGGGAGGGAGCUCCGGGACAAAUUUAUGGCGACGUACUUCGCCCUACGGUAUGUGCAUGUCAGCGCGUGUCGCUGUAGCACGGACGGAGCAUAUGCUGCGCUGAGCUGAUCACGCCUCGCCGCCUGGCCGGACUGCAUGCGCAAGGGAGAGGUGCGUGCAGCGCAGCGCAGUGCUGGCAGCUUUGCUUAGCUCAACACUCCACCCGUGUAGUAUAGUCGCGGGUUGGAUCGAUCGCUGUAGCUUUUGGGCCUGCGCUGCCAUGCCAAUGCCAUUACCAUGCAUGCAUGUGCUCGCCGUACGUCGCGCCGGAGAUCGAUGCAGUGGGAGCAGCAGAGAGAGGCCGCAGCGUUCCAAAAUGCAGCGAUCUUUUCCCCUAGCACCACGCCUCUUGGCCCUCUCCUCGUAUAUGUAUGUCAUCGUGUGACCUGGCUUUGGCUUUUGGGAGGCAGCCAUGUGGAUCGACGACGCCGGACACGCUGGGCGGCUCGCCUCUGGUCCGAACUUGCCCGAUGUCCUCCUGUGCGCUGCACUAGUGCAACCUGGGUGGCACUCGACUCAUGUACUUAUGGAUCGGAGUCCAGCGUACGUGGUCCCGGCCGGUGAGCUCUUCUGUAGCACGAAAUAAAAACUUUCAAUGGAUUUUGGAGCGAGCGCUGUAGCAGCAGCAAGCAGCAGGAGGAGGAGCUAGCUUUGCAUUAUGAAUCAACGCCAUGCUUGCUGCACGCCCCGAAAGGCGAGGGUGGCAUAUUUCUGUUUCGGGAGAGGUAGGAUAGCCUGUUCUCGCUGCAGCCUGCCGCUCCUGUUUUUCGUUUUCUUUUCCUAUCAGUGAAUCAUUGCAUGUGAUGUAUGCCAACGUACGAGUAGUACUGUAUGUAUGUAUAUCCCACCCCUCCACAAAGAGAAAAUCAAACGUCUCCCACCAAUAUUCCAGGGGUUUUUUAGGCUAAAGACACGCUUUACUUAUUGCUCAAGAAUUUCUAGAGGAAUGCAAGAUUAAGCCCACUACCACUAAUAUCUUUGUUGUCAAUCGGGCACGAGAAGCAGUCGUUAAGCCCACUGGCAACACUAGUUUCUCCUGAACCUGAUGGCUCCCAGAUUACAGCGUUCUUGUCUACAAGAGCGGACGCAACAGCGGUAAAAGUUUUUUUUUGCGGGAAAACAGCGGUAACAGCGGUAAAAGUUGACGCCCUGAUUAACCGAGCACGGCCUGUAAACUUGCACGAUGUGACGGUGACACACUGAACGAUUGCGAAUAGUUGGAACGGAGGGUAGAGAUCAAUUAAUGCUGCCGUAGUAAGUUGUUCUCCUCCUGUUUUCCUUAUCUUUCUUUAGGUGUUGCACAUGCGGAAAAUACCCUUAUACACCUGGUUGUAUAUGCACCUGAUAAAAAAAUCCAGGAAAAUAGUAAUUUAGCAAAAAAGGUCGAUCUUUGAAACAUUUUUUGGCAACAAACUUGACCUACUGCCGUACUCGUAUAAAUUUUUUGACAAAGAAAAACAAUUGUAAACAAUCGGAGCAUAAAAACAAAUUUUCAGGACAAUAUAGAGUGAAUAGUACCUCUAAUAGUGUUGAUUUUGUCUUCUUCACCAACAAUACCACGAAAUUCAUUUCGUCCCCAAAAUUAUCACUUGUGGAUUACUCAAAAGAAUGAAGUCCCGUUCUUUGUCGAAAUUUUGUAAAAACGGAGGUGGACAUGUGUAACACUUUAUAAAGUUUGUUGCCAAAAUCUUUCAUGAUUUUCGACCGUUUUUUAAAUUAGUCCCUCCGUUCACAAAUAAAAUGUUUUAGAUAUUUUAACAUAGACCACAUACGGACUGAAUAUGAAUGAACAAACACAUUAAAAUGUGUCUACAUACAUCUGAGAAGGCAACAUUAGAUGUACUUGUGAAUAGAGGGAGUACCGAUUUUUCUUUUUUUUUUGAAAAACGGGUGCACCUAUCCCCAGGUUCCAUUCGUUCCCCUCCACGCAAUGUUCCACUUGCGUCUUCAGUGGCACAUUUACAUUCCAAAUUACCGAAUAGAUAAUAGAGAUAGCCUAAAGCACAUUCGUUUUCUUAAACGGAGGCAAAUAAUUUGUGUCAUCAAUUCAUUUAGCAAAAGAUAAUUGUCUAGUUAAUUAGUGAAAACCGGUAUAAAAAGACCACAUGUGGAUUACUCAAAACAAUGAAGUCCAUGAUCGCAUGGUAGCGCACCUGAUUAGGCACACAGCGCCUUCGCUGAACAAUAGCAACUGCCACAACGACAAACAAGAUCACUGCUAAGCAGCCACGUGUAUAGGAGCUGAGGCUAGCAGAUCGAUGCGGAAAAUUCAACGUGAAAAAGGUUCGUAGUUUGGACGCACCGUCCUCUGUAGAGGGUAAUUUCUAACUCUCUGUAAAACCAUUUUGACGAUUCCAGCCUGGACCUCGAAUUGGUUAGCGAGCAGAUAUGCCACGUCACACAUAUGAGCGCGGCGCUCGCAUAAAUGGCAAAUGGCGAGGUGUGGUAAAGUCGCCUAACAGUGACCACCACUGUUGCGUCUUGUUGUACUUGCUGACACGAGUAGACAGAAUUAGAGAUCCAGUCAAAGAAACUGUGCUCGCGGGUCCCCGAACCUCCAGCAGCACGAUCAUAAGGCGUAAUGGUCACUUAAGUACGACUUACUCUAUGGCCACUAUGCAUCUGCGUGGUGGUCACACACACCAGACUCAAGUGUAUAUACGGCACUGUGGCCUGAUCUUGUUCGUUACCGUGGCCCGCCAUUGCAUGCAUGCAAGCCCGGGCUCCCCCCGCCCCCUGUCAACGUUAGAAAAAGGAGCUUAAAGUCAACCCAAGCCUUGUGCAGGCUAUCUGAUGAUGAUGGUGCAUUGGUGCAGUACUGUGCUGUCAUGUAGCAGCAGCUAGGGCAUGCUGCUAUGUGAAACGACGCCUUUGAGACAUCUAAUCGUCGGCCCUACUAAUCACUGCUUCAGUUCCAAGCGUGAUAUCAUGUCACGAGCCAUUUCCCAGGCAGAUAGCGUCUGCACGCGUCGCUUGCUCUUGUCGUGCGCACUCAUGCAUGCAUGCAGCUUGCUUGCUUCACAUAGGAUCAGACAUUGUUUGCUGUUUGCCAUGAUAUCAGUUGAGGCUGUCAACUAUCUGUCCAUUUUUUGUUUCGAAAAAAAUUAGAUCUGCUACGAAAAUACAUCAAAAAUACAAAGCACCUCAAACAUAACAAAAAUUACAUCGAGAUCGCUAGACCAUCGAACGACCACCACCGUCACCCGAACAAAGUGUCGACGCGCUGUUGUCGCUGCUCCUCUACCAAAGCCAGCUUGUCCUUGUCGAUGACAAACGGAAAAAUCUUCAUGCACGUGUCCUUAAGGACCAGAGCUCUGGAGUCGCGAUCGUCGCCUUCGCACGUGCCCCUAAGGACCAACUAACACCAACUAUAGCCAUCACGCACGCACGAUAGAAACUAACCUCACCGCCCCCAGGAGACGGCAGGAAUCUACGUCGGAGCUUCGUCGGCUACGUCUGCAUGGACGAACUAGAGGAGGAUCGGAGUCUGUAAGACAAACUCGAAGAAGCGACGCCAUCCGACUGAACGUCGCACAUGCGAGGACUAAAAUACCCUAAGCUAAACUACUAGCCGGAGCGAUGGCACCGGGAUUCCACUUCCCGCCAGAGCGGCAGGCAGAAGGGAGACGAAUCCUCGGGCUCGCUGAUGAAGUCUGGAAGGGAUAGUUUGCCCUACCCUCGAGGCAAAGGAAAGAAAACGAUUGGAGAAGAGUUUAAUCAUGCCUUGGGAGUAGGAUUUUCUUUUCUCCGGCUUAAUGGACCUCUUGAACGCUGUUAUUUUUCUUUAUUAGUUGAAUGAGUCAAAACUUUUGCUUCCGUUUCAAUAUUUUUGUCUAUUUAUCUGUUCUGAGUUUUUUCAUUUGUUGCAAUCACAUUUUCAGUCCCUGCUAAUUUGUCGAGGAAUCAAUCAAUAUGAGUAUUUCACUAUGAUUACUCAGCAAGUGACCGGCUACAAUGAAUUGGAGGCGACAAAUGAAUGCUGAAGCGGAGCUUUUGUCAGUGCAAACUAAAGACUGGCGCCACCCUUCCUUCCUUUUUGUGCCGACGGUCCGGGGGCAAAAGCGGGGGCAGAGGCGACACUGAUACGGACAUGGCAAUGCAUUCCAUGGUGCGUGCACGGACUUGAAUGAUAAUAAUGAGCGUCUUCCAUUCUCCUCCCUGCAGAUCGCAUGCUGCACAUUGAUGCCUCGAGUGCAUGCAGCGAUGCAGGUGCAGCUAUGAGCUAGGCUAUCCACCUGCCUCUGCGUAAAGCGAGCCCCGGCCCGGAAGAAAGUUGGGGGGCACGGCACGGCACGGCAUGUAUAAAGAAGCGGACGGACUCGAUCGUCCUGCCAUGCAUGCAUGCAUGCGUGGAUGUUUGCUUCCAUCUGAGUUCUGAGGUUUUUCGUGCUGUGUCAGGCAGCCUCUUCCGGAAUUUCUGGCGAGGAAGGCAGCUUUAGCCUAGCAGUAGCACCUCUCUCUACGACGGAAAGAUGGCGCGUGCUGGGUCGGUCGAUCACGCUACGCUGCUGUGGUAUCAUGGCUGAGUCUCGAGAGAAAAGCAUUUGCAGAUCUAUCAUGGGAUCAUCCGCCCGCGGAGCUCGGCUCGCUACAUGAGAUGGCGUAAAGCGUGUUUGGAAAAUUCUGAAAGCUGUUUGGACCGUCGGCAAGCAGCGAGAAGGUGGCCAUCAAUGUGGAUCGGUGGUGGUACGUGCGCGCACUCGACCAUGCGCCCCGGCCGGCACGUCCCCGCGGGGCCGUCAACCGCGCGAUCCAGCGGGCGUUUGACCGGCGUCGGUAGGAUCUGUCGGUAGGCACGGAAUCUCUCGUCUUUCUCUCCCUGUUAUUCCCGGUCGCGGGUCGCGGCCGGUCAUGAUUGUUAUUCGCCGCGGUGGUAGCCGGGAGGGAGACGGAGAAAUGAAAAGCCCCCACCGGGCCGUGCAAAGCGGGGGGCCGAUUAGCCAACACGGGCGGGGCGGGGCGGACGCAUGCAUGCGAGCGAGCGCGCUUGCAUCGGAGAAAGCGCGGGCGCGGCCGGGAGCGAGGGGGAGGGAGGGAGAGAGAGGCCGAGCGCGGCCCCGCGGCGCCGGGGUCUCGCUGAUUGGGACGUAUCGGAACGCGGAAAGGCGCGCCUGAUAGGGACAAAACGACGCGCUGCCUUCUCGCUCGCGGCCUGCUCGCCUUUGGGUCUCAGGUUUUGCUUGCCGGCUGGUUGCCAGGUUGCUGUGAUAUGCGAUGUGUCCGCUCUGCCUGGCCUGGCUUGGCUUGUUGGCUCGCACGCAUCUGGGCCGGCCGAGCUUUUGUCCCGAACCGGAGCCGUGAUUGACUGCUUGUGAGGCAAAGGGUUUUUGUGGUCCGUCUCAGCUCGUGGUGGAACGGUCGCCGGCGCAACCGUGGGGGUUGGAGCAACAGAGUUUAUAUAAGUGCCAUCAGGGUCAAGUGUUGUAUCACUUCUUGUUCGAUUANNNNNNNNNNNNNNNNNNNNNNNNNNNNNNNNNNNNNNNNNNNNNNNNNNNNNNNNNNNNNNNNNNNNNNNNNNNNNNNNNNNNNNNNNNNNNNNNNNNNNNNNNNNNNNNNNNNNNNNNNNNNNNNNNNNNNNNNNNNNNNNNNNNNNNNNNNNNNNNNNNNNNNNNNNNNNNNNNNNNNNNNNNNNNNNNNNNNNNNNNNNNNNNNNNNNNNNNNNNNNNNNNNNNNNNNNNNNNNNNNNNNNNNNNNNNNNNNNNNNNNNNNNNNNNNNNNNNNNNNNNNNNNNNNNNNNNNNNNNNNNNNNNNNNNNNNNNNNNNNNAUGAACGAAGAAGACGAUGUUUACCCAGGUUCGGACCCUCUUGAUGGAGAUAAAACCCUGUGUCCUGCUUUUGUUUAUAUUGAUGAUGACGUAUCAAGUACAAAGCUUGAUCUACCUCGAGGCGUUAGUGUGUUCUAACCCUAGGGCUAGGUGAAUGUAAUUGUGAUUGGGAUCCCCUCUACGGGUUAAACCCUUUGUCUUAUAUACACGCCAGGUUGGGUAUCUAGGAUUACAUGGUCGGUAUCCAAGGGUACGCAUGGAGGCGGCAAGAGAUGUCUUGGAGUAUACGUCAAGUCUUCGGCAGGCGCAUUUUUGAACAGGUGUGAAGCUUCCGUGGUCCAUCUUAAUGAGACUGAGGGCCCACAAGCCCAUCCCGAGGACUAUGGGCCGACUAAGUUAGUACCCCCUAGUCUUGGACACUAUCUAUAGCCGUCGAACUGGUCUUCUAUGCCGAGGAGGACCUCUUUGACGCUAACAACUCCCGAUCUGAAGUCAUUGGCUUGACAGACGAGUUCCCCUUUUGGCUUCUCAAAAUGCUUUCCUUUAUUCAAAGCCCCCUUGGACCACUCCUCGAGGAGUGGCGUCCUUUGACCAGGACCCAGCCGAACCUGCACUGCUUCCGGAGGCAUGGGGUUACUUAGUGAAAGGAUCGAUAUAGUUGACUAGAGAGGGGGGGGGGGGGUUGAAUAGGCAACUAACAAUUUUUAGCUUUUCUUUACUAAUUUAAACUUUGCAUCAAAGUAGGUUGUCUAGAUAUGCAACUAGGUGAGCAACCUAUAUGAUGCAACAACAACAAGUACACAAGCAAGCAAGAGAUGCAACGCAAUAUAAGCUUGCACAAGUAGAGGUACGAGAUAACCAAGAGUGGAGACGGUGAAGACGAGGAUGUGUUACCGAAGUUCCUUCCUUUUGAGGGGAAGUACGUCUCCGUUGGAGCGGUGUGGAGGCACAAUGCUUCCCAAGAAGCUGCUAGGGCCACCGUAUUCUCCUCACGCCCUCACACAAUGCGAGAUGCCGUGAUUCCACUAUUGGUGCCCUUGAAGGCGGCGACCGGACCUUUACAAACAAGGUUGGGGCUCUCUCCACAACUGAAUUGGAGGCUCCCAACAAAACCACGGAGCUUCACCAAUUUGGAAUGUGGCUCCGAGGUGACCUCAACCGUCUAGGGUGCUCAAACACCGAAGAGUAACAAAAUCCACACAAGAAAGUAUGGGGGAAGCAAAUAUCCUUUGGUGGAAGUGUAGAUCUAGGUCUCCUCCUUCAAUCCCUAGCAAAUCAACGAGUUUGAGUGGCUAGAGAGAGAGAGAGAGAGAUCGGGCAAGAGAGCUUGAGUGCAUUAAUGGUGGAGUGAGAGAGGUAAGAGGUAAAUGUGGUAGGUGGAAGAACCACCCUUAUACAGCAAACCCUAAAAUCCAACCAUUACUACGAAAUCAGCACUAUAGCGAUACAACCGCUCCUCGUCCCGGUACAACCGGAACUCACAGUUUAUCUGCAGAACCCUACCAAGCGGUACAACCGGGCGGGCAGGCGGUAGUACCGGUUGCGGAGAACAACCGGAACAACCGCCCAGUCACCGCUCAACCACCGCGUUGAAAUAGUAGGGUGUCACCCCUAUGUGCGGUGAUCGAGCGGUAUAGCCCCGGUGCAACCGCCUGGCCUUGGACGCUUGGGUGGCUAAGUCCCAAGCGGUAGAACCGCUCAGGACACCGGUGGUACCGGUGUGCGGGGCACAACCGGCCAACCGGGCCACCGCCGCCCAAGUACCGCAUCAAAACAGAAGUCUGACCGGUUGUUGAGCGGUACUUGGCCGGUACAACUACCGCAGUCAUUGUUAAGCUUGGUGGCGGUACCACCGCCCGGGAGCAGUGGUACAACCGCUCAUUCACGACUGGGUUGGUCAACCCCAGGGUAUCACCCCUGGGGUGGAGGUUGGGUUAGCGCCAAGAGCCAGCGGUACAACCGCUCACACAAGCGGUACAACCGCUGGGAGAACACAGUAAGCAGUAGAAAAAGAAGGGGAGCUCUCUGUCUCAUAAGACAAGGAAGGCAAAGGAGGGUGUGGCGAGUGUGUAUGUGAAAAGACCCCCCCAACUCCUUCCAAUAUGGAUUCCCUCUUGAUAGUACGGGUUCCCUACGACCAAAGAGAUAAACACGUAGAAAAACCUCAUCUUCGAUCUUUUCCUUCCAAAGAGAAUAGCUAACCAAUGUAAGCCUAAUCACCGAGAACCUGAAGCACUUAGCACACGAUUAGACCAACAAAGGGUUUUCAUCAUCAUCCAAAACACAAAGUAGGGAAAUGCCCUUACAAUCUCCCCCUUUUUGGUGGAUGAUGACAACAACACGAUUUGCAAGAGAGAGGUCUAGAAAAUAUAGACGGGACUCCCCCUAGAUGUGUGCCCUAAUUUGAUGUUGCUAUUGGAAUGCAAGUGCACACAUUAAGGGCAAGACUCCCCCUAGAUUUUAUAGACCCACCACUCCUACUAGACAUGCGAAGAAGCAAUAAGCACAUAAUAGGAGAGUAAGGACUAUAACGGAUAAAACCAACAAUAUUAAUGACAAUAAUGAUAGAUAGAUGAGCGCAUGUCUCACACCAUGCAAGUCAAGAUAAGCAACAAGGUCCACAAACUAAAGUUCAACACGAUGCACGAAAGAACAAAGCACAAACCCAAGCAAAGCAAAUCCCAUGCAAAUCCCGAGACCUAAUAGAACUCUCUCCCCCUUUGGCAUCAAGACACCAAAAAGGAAAAGAGCGAAGCUAGCGCCCCAGAGCUCAGUCGUCCUCCUCUGACUCCUCGGUUGCACCUGGAUCCUCAUCAUCAUCAGACUCCUCAUCAUGGUCCCGAUCUGCGUCCUCCAUGAUGUCAUCAUCAGCAGCAAAGGAGGUGGAGGGCUGGCGAGGAGCCUCAUCAUCGGACCAAGUGCUAUGCGUAGAGAUCCAUCGCUCCUCCGGUGUGAUGCUCUUCUCAGAACCACUCUGAACAGACAUAUUGAGGUGCUUCAUCAUCGCAAUCUGACAACGCCUGGCAUGCUUCUCAUUGACAUGGGCCUCAUACAUCCUCUUCUGAAUGUCAGUCUGGAGGCUGAAGGUCUUCUUCACCUUGGCAGUGAGCUUGGUCACCCAAGAGGGCUUGGCCCCUGGCUCCAUCUCAAAGUCCUCAUCCUUUGAAAUGGCGUAGACAUCCUCGGGAUCAUUCACAGGAAAGCGAGGCUCGUCAUGCUUCUUCUUCUUGAGUAGCUUGACCUCAUGAACUGUGAGAUUAUCUGGAGAAGUGAGAAGCUCUCCAGGACGACGAACAACAUGACAAACGAAGCAUAAAUAGGGACCUUUCUGUAGAUGACCAUGUUGUACAUCUCGUGCCACAGCCAGUUGGACACAUCAAACGUUGCGCCAGAUCCCACCUUGGUCUUCAUAGCAACCAUCAAGUCAACAAGGUAGCCAUGAAUUUCAUCUUGAUUGCCCACCUUGGGCAAAAGCACAUUGCGAAACACUCAAUGCAUGAUGUCAUAGAUCUUCACCAAAUCCUUGGAUUCUCCAAUAAUACCACGGCCCCAAAUUUACAGAGGGGCAAGCUUCUCCUUAGGCAUGGACUCAGGAUGGUUGUGCGGACGAAUGACACCAUUCCCCUCAAGGCAUGUAUUGUCAUAACCAAGAGCAUUGCAGAAAGCCAUCCAGGGUACUUGAAAGAGCUCAUCACGGCACAUGAACGUGAGUGUGCGAGCGUCAUCUUCUCCAAAAUGAACAGUGGCAUAGAACUGAUGGAUAAUCUGAACAUCAAAGUCACAGUUUACUGACAUGAGCUUGACCAGAUCGAACUCCUCACAGAGAGCCAAAGCCUCACCAAAAUACUCCAAGUUGCUCCUCCGAUGGUCAAGAUCAAUGGUCCACUGCUUGGCAUACCUGUUCUUGUUAUGCUCAAAGAGUUCAUGAACAAUCCGCACUUGCAUCUCAUUUCGGAACUGAACGGUGGUCCAACGAGGUGCAAUGGGAACCUCGUAAGGAUUCUUUGAGCGGAAGGUUCCCCAAUCCUUGGCUUUCCAACGGUGCAAGGGCAUAACCACACGUUGCUUGGCAGCGGCAGACUUCUCACGGCGAGUGGGCUUGGUGGGAAUCAAAACCUCUUCUUCUUGGUCUUGCGAGGAGCAGAGCGAGAACUAGAGCCACCUGCACACACACGCAUGAGGAGACAACAAGAAACCCAGCAAAGAUGAGAUGAUUGCACACACAAACAAAGAAAAGGGUAGAUUGCACAAUGGAGAAGAUAGAACAGAGCUACGUGCACUACAAAAAAAAUACACUUCCAUGAUGAUACGUGUUUGUCACAGUAGGUCACGUUUUCUGUCAUGCAUGUACAUCCAUGACAAUUUUAUGACAGAAUCAAGAUAGUCAUACCUGUGCUAUCGUAGAAGUGUUCCAUGACAUUACCAAAAUUAUCAUCACGAAAGUGUCCACUUCCAUGACGAUAAAUCGCGCGUCACGGAAGUGCUUUCGUCAAGGGUGACCGACACGUGGCAUCCACCGUAAUGGAACGCCGUUAAGCUAUCGGGUCUGGUUUUGGACCCGAUAACCCGUUAACAGCCCCGACCAAUGGGGAUUUUCCACGUGUAAAAUCAUCAUUGGCUGGAGGAAACACGUGUCGGCUCGCCGUUGGGACAGAUGUCAUCCAGUCAUUGGACCCAAAGCACCUAUGAUACAUCGACACGUGGCAUGGCCCAACAGAGGCCCAUUCCUGUGAAAAGACUGGCCCAUUUGACUUGGUCAAAAGGUGGCGGGCCGGCCCACGGCAAGCCCAUUAAGAUAAGUUGCUUCUUUCGUUAGAGAUGCAAUUGUCCUGGUCCGCCUACUCUCCCGUGCCCAAAUACCGACUCUGUAGCAGCUGUUAAUGUAAUGUUGCUGGUAAAAUGAAGCAAUGGCACCAUUAAAGUAAUGUCGUAUUUAACGGUUGUCAUAGUUAAUCCUAAUGCCCACACUAAUAUCUAGCAAUGCUGCUAGAAAUUGCUACUGUCCUUGUACGAUUGCCAUUCAGAUAAGGAACAUGCUUUUUUUCAUUUGAUGCAUGUUUCAUCACUUGUUAGUCACCCUCCUUUCCACCUUUUUUGUGCAAACAGAGAUAUACAUUUCACACUUGAUCUUAGUUGAACUGCACAAAUGAUAUCCAAAUUAUAGUUGAACAUUCCAGGAGCUUCACGACCAACCUUGAUGUUGCUCAAUUUUAUUGCAACUAAUGAAGAAGAAGCUCUGUGGGUUUCGUUUUCUGAUGGAAAUGGAACCGGGGCUGGAGCCCUUUUCUUAAAAAAAGAAGAAGAAGCUGCUAGCUCAUGGGACAUUGCUUCAUUUUAGGUGAACUGCACCAAAAGGUCCCAUGAAUUGAAUCAUCCAUGUUGGUGACUGGUUUCAUCCCUUCUACGAUGGCGUUGACUGCAGAUAUGGUUCCCAUCACGAGGUAUGUUCCUUUUUGGUUUGACCGUUUGCCAAAGAUCCUGCAUGUUGAUCCUACUCUUGUGCUACUGUUUUGGCACUGCCAUGAUAAAGCAGUAAUGUUAUUAUUUUGCACCUUAAUCUAGUGGCACUAUUAAUUUGAGGUAAUGUUUUGGCACCGCUAGUGCCACUGUUUUUUUAUAUAUCGAAAGAGGGGGUUCCCUCCGAUUUCAUUAAAGAAACCCAACCAUAGAGAACGAUUAUCCGACAACAUCUCAGUGUAAACGGGCAGUUAUGCAACUACUACUAGAACGGACUGAGUACUACAGGAGACAAGUUCGCCACAUAAGCUAGGAAGGUAGGGGGACGCAGCACCAGCUCGACCAAAUUUGGAUUACAACCCAAAUGCUACCACAGAAACAUCAGGGGGAAGAUAGGGACUGAAAGAGCCAGCUUCAGCAUCCCAGUCUAAGCACCCCCAGCUUUCAUCCUUGCGACACACGGUACACCUCGUUUGCCACCUGCUCGACCAUAGUGUCACUGAUAAAAUGAAGUAAUAAUACAAUUAAAAUAGAGCGAGUGUCCUCUCUAUCAUUUAAUUUCCAAUGUAGAUAAAGAAAGUGCUUCUCUUUGUUAAUGUAUGUUUCAUCAACUAGUCCCAUUGUUAAUGUUUAAGCGUUUCUGCAAACUGGGGUGCUUAAUUUUAGUUGAUUUGCACAAAAAUAGAGAUUUGAAUGUCUCAAGGCCCCUCCUUGUACUACCGCUGUACACUGAUGUUCAUCCCUCGCAGAAGGUGUAUCGGGGAGACUUGGGACGAUUUCCAGUAUGAGGCGGGGCGUACCGUAUGAGGCGUCGCAGGGCCCAUCUCGCCCUCGCAGCAUGGCAUACUAUGAUACUAUCGCAAUAUUUUCUAUUUAUUUUGCGUGUUUCAUCAACUAGUGCCACUAUAAUGUAAUCACGCUUUUUCAUUAUCUGUGCAAACAGGGUUAUUCAGCUGCAUUUUGGUGGAGCAGCACAAAUGUACGGAUGGAACCGGCAUAUAUGCAGAGUGCGAGGUGUGCCAAGUAAAAAUUACCGACACCAACCAUGCUCCAUGCACGCAUUGGCAUCCACCACCACCAGUGGGAUGUGUGGCGCUCUCUGUGGACGGAUCUUUCUCGUCAGCAAAUCCUCUAACCAAAUACUAGUAGCUUAUAUUAGCAGUUUUCUAGGGAGUACUCUUUUCUGAAAGAAGCACCAAUCUAUUUUUCUUUAUUUGUACACAGUGUCACAACUUUGACCCAAAGGUCCAGAGCUAUUUAAGGGUGAUUGGCGUAGUACUCGGAGACUGAUUGUAACCAUGAUUUUCAUUAGCUGUUACACCGAUUAUAAGCAUGAGCAGGUGGAAGAUUAGGUUAGUGAGAAGCUUACCUUAAACCCUACCGCCGCCGUUGAAACGAGGCGAGCGUCGAGGGAACCAUGGAGAACGGCGGGGAAGCGACGUCGCGCCAUCCGGCCUCCUCUUGCGGUGGGAGAAUGAAUACUCCUGUGGCUCCGGCUGACUCUGCACCCUCACGAACGGCACACCGUGCUCGAUCGAUUCGUUAUCCUCUGGGUGCUCGACCUUCGACCUGUACGCCCACCACCUCCGCCCGACUUUCGCCUCGGGCGAAUCUGUCUGCUCCAUCGCCCAGAGGAGAUACUCGAUGAACUCGAAGCACUGCGGCGUGACUGCCGCCGAGGAGUACAUGUACAUCGCCGCCCUCAUCGCCGUCGUCUCGCUCUUUCGCAUACAUUGCCACAUGGCCCUCACCGUCCUUGAAAUCUCCCACUCAUUGUCAAACCAAGUAAGGGUCUCCUUCAACCUGGCUAACUUUGCCUGGUCGCUGCCGGUGAUCUGCCUGAUUCGCUGCUGCAUCCUCUCCAUAAAUGUCCUUCUGAGUGGUCCGAUGCUAGCUUUGGAAGAUGGGAGGAGAGACGGUGGUCUUGCAAUAGAGAAGAGGGAGAGGCGAGACGGUUGUUUUGGAAUGGAAAUGAUGGAGAGGACAGGAGGUGGUUUUGCAAUGGAGAAGAGGGAGACGCGACACGGUGGUUUUGGAAUGGAGAUGAUGGAGAGGAGAGACGGUGGUUUUUGAAUGGAGAUGAUGGAGAGGAGAGGAGGUGGUUUUGCAAUAGAGAUGAGGGAGAGGAGCGUGCGCCAGCGAUUUAGGAUUGGACGAGAGGGCCAGCGCGCUGUGACUGGAUCAAAAUCAAAAUCAAUUUACCCUUCAAUUAAGAAAGCGACCCCACAUUAAGUAGUCUCAUUUUUAUUCUGGGCCAUAAUUGACCAUGAUUUUCGCAAAUAAAAUAUAUGUUAUACGUUGCAAAAAUAAUAUAAUUUGAAAGUACAUUCAGAACGAACCAAAUGAUACAAUUUUUGGUGACAUGCAUUCACAUUUUGCUUGUCAAAUACAGUAUGUGGUCAAACUUUGACCCAAAAUACGCAAAACAAAAAAAUACUUCCAAGACCAGCGCCGCUCUUCCGCUCUUCUCCUCUUAAACCACCGCCGCUCCUCUCCUGUUCCAAUCUAAAUCUAGCGCCGCUCCUCUCCUCUUCCAUUUCAAAACCACCGCCCCUCCUCUCCUGUUCCAAUCCAAAAUCAGCGUCGCUCCUCUCCCGUUCUAAUCCAAAACCAGCGCUGCUCCUCUCCUCUUCCAUUCAAAAACCACUGCCGGCGAGUGAAGGUGCUGUGGAGAAGUAGAUCGAUGGAGGAGUACAACCGAUAUGCGAGGAUCGCAGACGGCGACCCUGUGAAGCUAGCUACGAUGUUGGAGAUACAGUCUUGGUUUGACAACAAGGACCAACUAGCGGCGACGACGACGUCCAUGGCCAAAUAUCUGCAACAGAGUGAAAAGGCGGCGAUACUCCCGGAGGGAGUCGCGCGGGAGUACAUAGAGCUGCUCCUCUGGGCUAUGGAGCAAACAGAUUCACCGAAUCCGAUCGUGAGGGAGCGGUGGUGGGUGUAUCGAUCCCAGAUGGAGCAUCUAGCAGAUAUUGAAGGAUCGAGCAUCUACAGGGUGCCGUUUGUGAGGGUGUCGUGCCAGAGCGAGCCGGUGGAGUCUUCGUCGACCGAACCCAACUGCAAGAGGAGAAAAACAGUUGGCCCGAUGGCGCUUCCCCGCCAUCCUCUCCCUCCACGUUCACAUCGUCUCACGGGGCGGCUGUCUGCCGCCGAGGAAUAGGAGGGACUGCCCCCCAGCCCAAUAGUCGGGCAGGUUGUGAAUUGUCAGGAGGAGCUUAGGGUUGUUAGUAUUUGCAGGUUGUGAAUUGUGUGUUGUGUUGUGUAUUUUGAGAUUACUUUCAGAUAUGAAUGUCUUUUGAAUUUCAGAUUUGCAGUAUUGAGCAUAUGAAGUAUUUUAUGAAUUCUAGAGAUCUAUUUUUAGCACUUAAAAAAAUGUAGUUUCAUAGGAGUAUAAAAGUGCAGACAAUGUGAUUCUCAGAGAAGAAACUGCAAGUUUCAGUUUCAGAUAAGAAACUCCAAGUUCAGUUUCAGAUAAGAAACAACAACUUUCAGAGGCAGAGCAUUUAUAUUAACACAGCCUUUUCAAACAGUGUUAACAUCAUGUUGGAAGUUUUAUUCAUGGUCGAAACUGGAACUACCAGCCAGUUAACAUCAUGCUGAUCAACAUUCAUGCAUAGCACAUCUUCAUAUGAUGCACAGUCAAAAAGAUAUGCUAUUUUCAAAAUGCCCACACAAUGUCGAGUGUGCUAAAAACAGAGAAAACGAGGGACGAAGUUUUGGCAAGUGUUGGACGUGGUGUGCGUAGAUGACAAUUGGGACCCACAGGUCAAUAAAGGCAGAGGCAAAAAUUUUGGAGAUAUUUUCUCUGCACAGGUUGAAUCGAACCCGGGCGGAACAACUGUCGGGUAGUAUCACUCGGCCACUAGGCUACUUCAGUUGUUUCGUUAGUAAUAAGGCACUUCCUCAGGCAGUCGGAUCUCCUCCUGCGCCUUUGUGCACUCGCCGCGACGCCGCUGUGUGCCGUUGUGAAUAUGCUGAACAAACGAGAGGAAUCUGGAGAGGACUAUACGUGGAGAGGCGGACAGUCAGGACCCUCCAGGUCUAUGGCCGUACGCAAGCAAGUGCCUCAUCAAAAAAAUACUUCCUCCUAAUGCUAUACUGACGUUGGGGCCCACGGGUUUGUCAACAUAGUUACAUUUUUUAGGUGCUUCAAUGUAGUUACUAUAGGAGAUAAAUUCACAACGAAGUCGGGGAGCUGGUAGGUAUCAUUUAUUAUCACCGGGGCAGCAAGUAUCAGCUGGGUUUUGGGCUGCCCCGUCUAGGCUUUCUUUUUUAACAUGCGCAGCCCACGACCUCGGAUGGGAGGUCCAUAGGCCUAUGGACCUCCCAUCCGAGGUUUUAUUUUUCCUGAAACAUCAUCAGCAAAAUUUAUAUUUUUUUUUGAAGAAAACGCAGAGGUCUGUUCUAUUUUUCUAAAUAAGAAUAGGAACGCCUGGUCCAACUUAUGUUUCCCUUCUAACUAUAUUAUAUAUAUUUAAAUUAUUUUAUAUGUUAUUAUAUAUUAUUCUUAUUGUCAUCAUAUAUUUAACAAAUACUUACAUAUGUAAGAAAACAAUAUCCCACAUCUUAUUAACUUAUAACAAUAAUUUCUUAACAAUAAAAUCCUGGAUUUUUUUGGCAAUGAAAAUCCUGGUGAUUGUGUACAAAAGCUUGGUAAGAUUUAAGGACCAAUGUAAUAAUAAAUCACUUAUUUUAUAUAUAUAUAUAUAUAUAUAUAUAUAACAAAAUGCUCAGCCCCUGUUUUUUUUAUAACAUUGUUGCGCCCACCCCAACAUUAUAAUUAGAAUCAGCCCAGCAAAAUCGUGUAUUUCGAGAAAGUGCAAAUGGCCUGUAAUUUUUUAGGAAAAACAUAAAUGGGCCGCAUGGACGCUACAUUAUUUGUUCACCCAGCCCAGCUAAUGAACUGUAAUUCAAAAAAAAGAGAUCAAAUUGACUCUAGAUUCUACCCCGCAAAAAAAGACUGUCUCUGAAAAAAUGGGUUGAAUACGUGCUACAUUUUUGGAGGCUGAAAUGUGGGCCAAUAGGUCGAAGCCAAUGCAAGUCGUUGUCAACUUAGUCAACAAAUGAUUCUGACAUCGUUAGCCGUUGGAUUUACAUCCAACGACCGACAUCCAUCUUCAAUCUCUCGUCUUCUUCCUCCAGCGCCGCCGGGACCACCUGCUCCCGCCUCCUGCUGCUAGCAGCUCUGCUUAGCAUGCUUCGUUGUGAAGCGCUACUCCACCGUUGGCCAGGCCAUCCCUCCACCCCUCCACACCUCAUGUUCUUCUCCACCGACUGCCCAACCACACCGCACCAGAACCAGUUAACCCUCGUACACCUCUCCGUCUGCGACUCUACUCCCGCGUCUUCCCAUCUCUGGCUCGUUGCUAUCCGAGGCCUCCCCGUCGUCCACCACCUUGGAUGCGCUUGGUGCGGAGUGGUCAACUUGGUCAAUGAACGACACCAUCGGAAGUAGACUGUGCGUGGAGAGGCUGACAGUUGGGUCCACGGCCACACGCAAGGAAAUGCCUCCUUAUUACACGCAAAAUAAUGAUUCCUCCACCUGACAGCUGGGACCCACCGGAAGGGCCUCUGUAUUUCGUGAAAAAAAACGUUCCCACCGCUGACAGGUCGGACCCACCAGUUAUAUCUUCGCACGCAAGGAAGUGCCUCCUUAUUACGCACAAAAAAAUGAAUACCUCCUGCUAGCUGGGACCCACAAUAGUGGUAGGCUGACUUGUGGGCCAACUAAGUUGACGGGGAUGGAGGGCUUUGUCAACUUAGUCAAUAUGAACGAUUCUAGCUCAAGUGACCGUACGAUGUCCAUCCAACGGCCGUAGUGCUUCUUCAACCUCUGGUCUUCCUGCUCCAGCCGCCCAAACCAGCGUCGGUCGUGCCUCGUACUCCUGCCUCCCGUGGCCGGCUGCGAUGCCGCGGAGACCUCACCGCCCCCUACUACUCCCACUGCUGGCCAGGCCAUCCCUCUACUCACCCACACCUCCUGUUAUUCUGCGGCGACGACAGCCUCACACCGCAGCGAACCAGUGAACCCUCAUACUCCUCUACGCAUGGGCAUCCACUGCCGCGUCUUCCCCGGCUCCGUGUCGUCCCUUUCCUAGGACUCGCCGUCGUCCACCGCCCUGGUGCUCUCGGCGCGGCGUGGUCAACGUGGUCAAGGAACGGCUUCCAUCGGGCGUGGACUGUACGUGGAGAGGCUGACAGCUGGGUCCACGGCCGCAGCAAAGAAGUGCCUACUUAUUACGCGGAAAAUAAUAAUUCGUCCACCUGACAGCAGGGACCCACCGGACGGGCAACCUUAUUUCACGAAAAAAACGUUUCCCCCUGACUUCUGGGACCUACCAGCGACAUCUUCACACGCAAGGAAGUGCGUCCGGGCAAAAAAAACGAUUCGCCCCCCUGACUGCUGGGACCCACCAGCUACAUCUUCGCACGCAAGGAAGUGCCUGACAGUCGGGACCCACCUGGUCGAAGCGUAGGUAACGUUGUUAUUUUGGUCGCGAACGUGUACAUACAUACCGGUUGAUGUAGAGGCGCGCAUGUGUCGUAGUAGAGGUGCGCACGUAGCAUGUACACGUACGUACAGCGGCCAGUGUGCAAGAAAGAAAAUACGGCCACGUACAUACAUACGGGCAGGGUCUCGAACGCCUACUCGCGCAUACGUACGGCCAGGGCUCGUGUACAUGGCUGGGUCAGAACGGAGAAACAGCGUCGUCGUCGUGUUCAUGGGGAGCCAACCGGCUGGGUCGGAAUGGAAUGCGUCGCGUGUUCAUCGGGAGGGCUUGGACGGAACAGCCGAUGGAAACGAGGCCUGGCGUACCGCAGAACGGAGGAAACGGCCUUGUGUUCGACCGGCCACGUUCGAAACGGGAUCCUGUUCAUCGGGAGGGGUCUGGCGUACCGCAAAACGGGACUCCACGGGAUACUGUUCAUCUCCACCGUCGACCCCCUCCAGCCUCCACGGGCUACUGUUCAUCCACCGUCGACCUCCUCCAGCCUCCACCUGCGACUGUUCAUCCACGGGCUCCUGUUCAUCCAGCCUCCACCGCGCGCUACUCCACCGGCUACUGUUCAACCAGCCCUCUCCACGGGCUCCUGUUCAACCACCCCUCCACGGGCUACUGUUCAUCCAGCCCUCCACCAUCUACUGUUCAUCUAGCCCUCCACGGGGUGGUCCUGUUCAUCCAGCCCUCCACGGGGUCCUGUUCAUCCAGCCCCAACCGGCUCGAUCGAUCGGGGUCCUGUUCAUCCAGAGGCAACACCACGGGGUCCUGUUCAUCCACCCCCACGGGGAACUGUUCAUCCAAACCCCCAGCAAUGCUCACUGUUCAUCCAGAGCCAGCAUCAAUCGACUUCAGUUAGCAGCAGUAGCGAAGGAAUCGCUCGAUCGGGUUCAGUUAACAGCCAUCGAUCGAUCGCUCGGGUUCAGUAACGCGUAGCCUGUAGUGCAAUCGUUCGGGUUCAGUUAGAGCCCAACGCCUCGCUCGGGUUCCGUUAGAGCCCAAAGCCUCGCACCCACAUGCGUGCGUGUACGAGAGAAACGCGCAUUGCUCGGCCCCGACCACCCACCGUAACCGGGAACACCCCGAUAUUUUCCUCGCCCUCGCUUCUACCACGGUUUUUUCCGUCAUGGACGGCCCAAAGAAUGUCAUGCAGCUGUUGGGGAACGUAGUAAUUUCAAAAUUUUCCUACGCACACGCAAGAUCAUGGUGAUGCAUAGCAACGAGAGGGGAGAGUGUUGUCCACGUACCCUCGUAGACCGACAGCGGAGGCGUUAUCACAACGCGGUUGAUGUAGUCGUACGUCUUCACGAUCCGACCGAUCAAGUACCAAACGUACGGCACCUCCGAGUUCUACACACGUUCAGCUUGAUGACGUCCCUCGAACUCCGAUCCAGCCGAGUGUUGAGGGAGAGUUUCGUCAGCACGACGGCGUGGUGAUGAUGAUGAUGUUCCACCGACGCAGGGCUUCGCCUAAUCUCCGCAACGGUAUUAUCGAGGUGUAAUAUGGUGGAGGGGGGCACCGCACACGGCUAAGAGAUCUCAAGGAUCAAUUGUUGUGUCUCUGGGGUGCCCCCUGCCCCCGUAUAUAAAGGAGCAAGGGGGAGGCAGCCGGCCAAGAGGAGAGGCGCGCCAUAGGGGGGAGUCCUACUCCCACCGGGAGUAGGACUCCUCCUUUCCUUGUGGGAGUAGGAGAAGGGAAGGGGGAAGGAGAAAGAAGGAAGGGUGCGCCCCCCUUCCCUAGUCCAAUUCGGACUAGACCAUGGGGAGGGGUGCGGCCACCUUUUGAGGCCUUUCUCUCCUUUCCCGUAUGGCCCAUUAAGGCCCAAUACGAAUUCCCGUAACUCUCCGGUACUCCGAAAAAUACCCGAAUCACUCGGAACCUUUCCGAAGUCCGAAUAUAGUCGUCCAAUAUAUCGAUUUUUACGUCUCGACCAUUUCGAGAUUCCUCGUCAUAUCCCCGAUCUCAUCCGGGACUCCGAACUCCUUCGGUACAUCAAAACUCAAUAAAACUGUCAUCGUAACGUUAAGCAUGCGGACCCUACGGGUUCGAGAACUAUGUAGACAUGACGGAGACACGUCUCCGGUCAAUAACCAAUAGCGGGACCUGGAUGCCCAUAUUGGCUCCCACAUAUUCUACGAAGAUCUUUAUCGGUCAGACCGCAUAACAACAUACGUUGUUCCCUUUGUCACCGGUAUGUUACUUGCCCGAGAUUUGAUCGUCGGUAUCUCGAUACCUAGUUCAAUCUCGUUACCGGCAAGUCUCUUUACUCGUUCCGUAAACACAUCAUCCCGCAACUAACUCAUUAGUCACAAUGGUUGCAAGGCUUAUAGUGAUGUGCAUUACCGAGUGGGCCCAGAGAUACCUCUCCGACAAUUGGAGUGACAAAUCCUAAUCUCGAAAUACGCCAACCCAACAAGUACCUUUGGAGACACCUGUAGAGCACCUUUAUAAUCACCCAUUUACGUUGUGACGUUUGGUAGCACACAAAGUGUUCCUCCGGUAAACGGGAGUUGCAUAAUCUCAUAGUCAUAGGAACAUGUAUAAGUCAUGAAGAAAGCAAUAGCAACAUACUAAACGAUCGAGUGCUAAGCUAACGGAAUGGGUCAAGUCAAUCACGUCAUUCUCCUAAUGAGGUGAUCUCGUUAAUCAAAUGACAACUCAUGUCUAUGGCUAGGAAACAUAACCAUCUUUGGUUAACGAGCUAGUCAAGUAGAGGCAUACUAGUGACACUCUGUUUGUCUAUGUAUUCACACAUGUAUUAUGUUUCCGGUUAAUACAAUUCUAGCAUGAAUGAUAAACAUUUAUCAUGAUAUAAGGAAAUAUAUAAUACUUUAUUAUUGCCUCUAGGGCAUAUUUCCUUCAGUCUCCCACUUGCACUAGAGUCAAUAAUCUAGUUCACAUCGCCAUGUGAUUUAACAUCAAUAAUUCACAUCACCAUGUGAUUAACACCCAUAGUUCACAUCUCUAUGUGACCAACACUCAAAGGGUUUACUAGAGUCAAUAAUCUAGUUCACAUCGCUAUGUGAUUAACACCCAAAGAGUACUAAGGUGCGAUCAUGUUUUGAUUGUGAGAUAAUUUUAGUCAACGGGUCUGUCACAUUCAGAUCCGUAAGGAUUUUGCAAAUUUCUAUGUCUACAAUGCUCUGCACGGAGCUACUCUAGCUAAUUGCUCCCACUUUCAAUAUGUAUCUAGACCGAGACUUAGAGUCAUCUAGAUUUAGUGUCAAAACUUGCAUCGACGUAACCCUUUACGACGAACCUAUUGUCACUUCCAUAAUCGAGAAACAUUUCCUUAUUCCACUAAGGAUAAUUUUGACCGCUGUCCAGUGAUCUACUCCUAGAUCACUAUUGUACUCCCUUGCCAAAAUUAGUGUAGGGUAUACAAUAGAUCUGGUACACAGCAUGGCAUACUUUAUAGAACCUAUGGCCAAGGCAUAGGGAAUGACUUUCAUUCUCUUUCUAUCUUCUGCCGUGGUCGGGCUUUGAGUCUUUACUCAAUUUCACACCUUGUAACACAGGCAAGAACUCUUUCUUUGACUGUUCUAUUUUGAACUACUUCAAAAUCUUGUUAAGGUAUGUACUCAUUGAAAAACUUAUCAAGCGUCUUCAUCUAUCUCUAUAGAUCUUGAUGCUCAAUAUGUAAGCAGCUUCACCGAGGUCUAUCUUUGAAAAACUCCUUUCAAACACUCCUUUAUGCUUUGCAGAAUAAUUCUACAUUAUUUCUGAUUAACAAUAUGUCAUUCACAUAUACUUAUCAGAAAUGUUGUAGUGCUCCCACUCACUUUCUUGUAAAUACAGGCAUCACCGGAAGUCUGUAUACAACUAUAUGCUUUGAUCAACUUAUCAAAGCGUAUAUUCCAACUCCGAGAUGCUUGCACCAGUCCAUUGAUGGAUCGCUGGAGCUUGCAUAUUUUGUUAGCACCUUUAGGAUUGACAAAACCUUCUGGUUGCAUCAUAUACAACUGUUCUUUAAUAAAUCCAUUAAGGAAUGCAGUUUUGUUUAUCCCUUUGCCAGAUUUCAUAAAAUGCGGCAAUUGCUAACAUGAUUCGGACAGACUUAAGCAUAGAUACGAGUGAGAAACUCUCAUCGUAGUCAACAUCUUGAACUUGUCGAAAAGCUUUUUGCGACAAUUCUAGCUUUGUAGAUAGUGACACUACUAUCAGCGUCCGUCUUCCUCUUGAAGAUCCAUUUAAUCUCAAUGGCUCGCCGAUCAUUGGGCAAGUCAAUCAAAGUCCAUACUUUGUUCUCAUAUAUGGAUCUUAUCUCAGAUUUCAUGGCCUCAAGCCAUUUUGUGGAAUCUGGGCUCACCAUCGCUUCUUCAUAGUUCGUAGGUUCGUCAUGGUCUAGUAACAUAACCUCCAGAACAGGAUUACCGUACCACUCUGGUGUGGAUCUUACUCUGGUUGACCUACGAGGUUCAUCAUCAUUAACUUCCUCACUAAUUGGUGUAGGAGUCACAGGAACAGAUUUCUGUGAUGAACUACUUUCCAAUAAGGGAGCAGGCAUAGUUACCUCAUCAAGUUCUACUUUCCUCCCACUCACUUCUUUCGAGAGAAACUCCUUCUCUAGAAAGGAUCCAUUCUUAGGAACGAAUAUCUUGCCUUCGGAUCUGUGAUAGAAGGUGUACCAAUAGUCUCCUUUGGGUAUCCUAUGAAGACACAUUUCUCCGAUUUAGGUUCGAGCUUGUCAGGAUGAAACCUUUUCACAUAAGCAUCACAACUCCAAACUUUAAGAAACGACAACUUUGGUUUCUUGCCAAACCACAGUUCAUAAGAUGUCGUCUCAACGGAUUUAGAUGGUACCCUAUUUAACGUGAAUGCAGCUGUCUCUAAUGCAUAACCCCAAAAAUGAUAGUGGUAGAUCGGUAAGAGACAUCAUAUAUCGCACCAUAUCUAAUAAAGUACGGUUACGAUGUUCGGACACACCAUUACACUGUGGUGUUCCAGGUGGCGUGAGUAGUGAAACUAUUUCACAUUGUUUUAACUGAAGGCCAAACUCGUAACUCAAAUAUUUUACCUCUGCGAUCAUAUCGUAGAAACUUUUAUUUUCUUGUUACGAUGAUUCUACACUUCACUCUGAAAUUCUUUGAACUUUUCAAAUGUUUCAGACUUGUGUUUCAUCAAGUAGAUAUACCCAUAUCUGCUCAAAUCAUCUGUGAAGGUCAGAAAAUAAUGAUACCUGCUACGAGCCUCAAUAUUCAUCGGGCCACAUACAUCUGUAUGUAUGAUUUCCAACAAAUCUGUUGCUCUCUCCAUAGUACCGGAGAACGGCGUUUUAGUCAUCUUGCCCAUGAGGCACGGUUCGCAAGCAUCAAGUGAUUCAUAAUCAAGUGAUUCCAAAAUCCCAUCAGUAUGGAGUUUCUUCAUGCGCUUUACACCAAUAUGACCUAAAUGGCGGUGCCACAAAUAAGUUGCACUAUCAUUAUUAACUUUGCAUCUUUUGGUUUCAAUAUUAUGAUUAUGUGUAUCACUACAAUCGAGAUCCAACAAACCAUUUUCGUUGGUGUGUAUGACCAUAGAAGGUUUUUAUUCAUGUAAACAGAACAACAAUUGUUCUCUAACUUAAAUGAAUAACAGUAUUGCAAUAAACAUGAUCAAAUCAUAUUCAUGCUCAACGCAAACACCAAAUAACACUUAUUUAGUUUCAACACUAAUCCCGAAAGUAUAGGGAGUGUGCGAUGAUGAUCAUAUCAAUCUUGGAACUACUUCCAACACACAUCGUCACCUCGCCUUUUACUAGUCUCUGUUUAUUCUGCAACUCCCGUUUUCGAGUUACUACUUUUUAGCAACUGAACCAGUAUCAAAUACUGAGGGGUUGCUAUAAACACUAGUAAGUACACAUCAAUAACAUGUAUAUCCAAUAUACCUUUGUUCACUUUGCCAUCCUUCUUAUCCACCAAAUAGUUAGGGUAGUUCCGCUUCCAGUGACCAGUCCCUUUGCAGUAGAAGCACUUAGUCUCAGGCUUAGGACCAGACUUAGGCUUCUUCACUUGAGCAGCAACUUGCUUGCCGUUCUUCUUGAAGUUCCCCUUCUUCCAUUUGCCCUUUUCUUGAAACUAGUGGUCUCGUCAACCAUCAACACUUGAUGUUUUUCUUGAUUUCUACCUUCGUCGAUUUCAGCAUCACGAAGAGCUCGGGAAUUACUUUCGUCAUCCCUUGCAUACUAUAGUUCAUCACGAAGCUCUUGUAGCUUGGUGGCAGUGAUUGAAGAAUUCUGUCAACGACGCAAUCAUCCGGAAGUUGAACUCCCAGUUGAAUCAAGUGAUUAUUAUACCCAGACAUUCUGAGUAUAUGCUCACUGACAGAACCAUUCUCUUCCAUUUUGCAGCUAUAGAACUUAUUGGAGACUUCAUAUCUCUCAAUCCGGGCAUUUGCUUGAAAUAUUAACUUCAACUCCUGGAACAUCUCAUAUGCUCCAUGACGUUCAAAACGUCAUUGAAGUCCCGGUUCUAAGCCGUAAAGCAUGGCACACUGAACUAUUGAGUAGUCAUCAGCUUUGCUUUGCCAGACAUUCAUAACAUCUGGUGUUGCUCCUGCAGCAGGCCUGGCACCCAGCGGUGCUUCCAGGACGUAAUUCUUCUGUGCAGCAAUGAGGAUAAUCCUCAAGUUACGGACCCAGUCCGUGUAAUUGCUACCAUCAUCUUUCAACUUUGCUUUCUCAAGAAACACAUUAAAAUUCAACGGAACAACAGCACGGGGCAUCUAUCUACAAUUAACAUAGACAAGCAAAAUACUAUCAGGUACUAAGUUCAUGAUAAAUUCAAGUUCAAUUAAUCAUAUUACUUAAGAACUCCCACUUAGAUAGACAUCCCUCUAAUCCUCUAAGUGACCACGUGAUCCAUAUCAACUAAACCAUGUCCGAUCAUCACGUGAGAUGGAGUAGUUUCAAUGGUGAACAUCACUAUGUUGAUCAUAUCUACUAUAUGAUUCACGCUCGACCUUUCGGUCUCCGUGUUCCGAGGCCAUAUCUGUUAUAUGCUAGGCUCGUCAAGUUUAACCUGAGUAUUCCGCGUGUGCAACUGUUUUGCACCCGUUGUAUUUGAACGUAGAGCCUAUCACACCCGAUCAUCACGUGGUGUCUCAGCACGAAGAACUUUCGCAACGGUGCAUACUCAGGGAGAACACUUAUACUUUGAUAAUUUAGUGAAGGAUCAUCUUAUAAUGCUACCGUCAAACAAAGCAAGAUAAGAUGCAUAAAGGAUUAACAUCACAUGCAAUCAAUAUAAGUGAUAUGAUAUGGCCAUCAUCAUCUUGUGCUUGUGAUCUCCAUCUCCGAAGCACCGUGCUUGUGAUCUCCAUCUCCGAAGCACCGUCAUGAUCACCAUCGUCACCGGCGCGACACCUUGAUCUCCAUCGUAGUAUCGUUGUCGUCUCGCCAACUAAUUACUUUUACUACUAUCGCUACCGCUUAGUGAUAAAGUAAAACUAUUACAUGGCGAUUGCAUUUCAUACAAUAAAGCGACAACCAUAUGGCUCCUGCCAGUUGCCGAUAACUCGAUUACAAAACAUGAUCAUCUCAUACAACAAAUUAUAUCACAUCAUGUCUUGACCAUAUCACAUCACAACAUGCCCUGCAAAAACAAGUUAGACGUCCUCUAUUUUGUUGUUGCAAGUUUUACGUGGCUGCUACGGGCUUAGCAAGAACCGUUCUUACCUACGCAUCAAAACCACAACGAUAGUUUGUCAAGUUGGUGCUGUUUUAACCUUCGCAAGGACCGGGCGUAACCAUACUCGGUUCAACUAAAGUGAGAGAGACAGACACCCGCCAGUCACCUUUAAGCAACGAGUGCUCGCAACGGUGAAACCAGUCUCGCGUAAGCGUACGCGUAAUGUCGGUCCGGGCCGCUUCAUCUCACAAUACCACUGAUCCAAAGUAUGACAUGCUGGUAAGCAGUAUGACUUAUAUCGCCCACAACUCACUUGUGUUCUACUCGUGCAUAGCAUCAACGCAUAAAACCUGGCUCGGAUGCCACUGUUGGGGAACGUAGUAAUUUCAAAAUUUUCCUACGCACACGCAAGAUCAUGGUGAUGCAUAGCAACGAGAGGGGAGAGUGUUGUCCACGUACCCUCGUAGACCGACAGCGGAAGCGUUAUCACAACACGGUUGAUGUAGUCGUACGUCUUCACGAUCCGACCGAUCGAGUACCGAACGUACGGCACCUCCGAGUUCUACACACGUUCAGCUCGAUGACGUCCCUCGAACUCCGAUCCAGCCAAGUGUUGAGGGAGAGUUUCGUCAGCACGACGGCAUGGUGACGAUGAUGAUGUUCCACCGACGCAGGGCUUCGCCUAAGCUCCGCAACGGUAUUAUCGAGGUGUAAUAUGGUGGAGGGGGGCACCGCACACGGCUAAGAGAUCUCAAGGAUCAAUUGUUGUGUCUCUGGGGUGCCCCCUGCCCCCGUAUAUAAAGGAGCAAGGGGGAGGCAGCCGGCCAAGAGGAGAGGCGCGCCAUAGGGGGGAGUCCUACUCCCACCGGGAGUAGGACUCCUCCUUUCCUUGUGGGAGUAGGAGAAGGGAAGGGGGAAGGAGAAAGAAGGAAGGGUGCGCCCCCCUUCCCUAGUCCAAUUCGGACUAGACCAUGGGGAGGGGUGCGGCCACCUUUUGAGGCCUUUCUCUCCUUUCCCGUAUGGCCCAUUAAGGCCCAAUACGAAUUCCCGUAACUCUCCGGUACUCCGAAAAAUACCCGAAUCACUCGGAACCUUUUCGAAGUCCGAAUAUAGUCGUCCAAUAUAUCGAUUUUUACGUCUCGACCAUUCGAGACUCCUCGUCAUAUCCCCGAUCUCAUCCGGGACUCCGAACUCCUUCGGUACAUCAAAACUCAAUAAAACUGUCAUCGUAACGUUAAGCGUGCGGACCCUACGGGUUCGAGAACUAUGUAGACAUGACCGAGACACGUCUCCGGUCAAUAACCAAUAGCGGGACCUGGAUGCCCAUAUUGGCUCCCACAUAUUCUACGAAGAUCUUUAUCGGUCAGACCGCAUAACAACAUACGUUGUUCCCUUUGUCACCGGUAUGUUACUUGCCCGAGAUUUGAUCGUCGGUAUCUCGAUACCUAGUUCAAUCUCGUUACCGGCAAGUCUCUUUACUCGUUCCGUAACACAUCAUCCCGCAACUAACUCAUUAGUCACAAUGCUUGCAAGGCUUAUAGUGAUGUGCAUUACCGAGUGGGCCCAGAGAUACCUCUCCGACAAUUGGAGUGACAAAUCCUAAUCUUGAAAUACGCCAACCCAACAAGUACCUUUGGAGACACCUGUAGAGCACCUUUAUAAUCACCCAUUUACGUUGUGACGUUUGGUAGCACACAAAGUGUUCCUCCGGUAAAUGGGAGUUGCAUAAUCUCAUAGUCAUAGGAACAUGUAUAAGUCAUGAAGAAAGCAAUAGCAACAUACUAAACGAUCGAGUGGUAAGCUAACGGAAUGGGUCAAGUCAAUCACGUCAUUCUCCUAAUGAGGUGAUCUCGUUAAUCAAAUGACAACUCAUGUCUAUGGCUAGGAAACAUAACCAUCUUUGAUUAACGAGCUAGUCAAGUAGAGGCAUACUAGUGACACUCUGUUUGUCUAUGUAUUCACACAUGUAUUAUGUUUCCGGUUAAUACAAUUCUAGCAUGAAUGAUAAACAUUUAUCAUGAUAUAAGGAAAUAUAUAAUACUUUAUUAUUGCCUCUAGGGCAUAUUUCCUUCAGCAGCUGCGUCUCCGGCCCGCCCAGGACGAAAAGCCCAUUUUUUGUCAUGAUUUUUUGUCAUAGAAGUAGGAGCCCACCACAUCUAUGAUGAUACCGGGUUUUGUCACAAUUAUCGUCAUAGAAGUGUCAUAAGUAUGACAUCAAUUUUUUCCGUUCGGCCCAAAAUGUCACGGAUGUGUCUUUUUUUGUAGUGGUGGUUCAGAUACCGCGGUUGAACCGGUUCUACAACCGGUAGUACCGCUCCGGCGGUUGUACCGCCCAUGGAGGCAGUAGAACCGCUGGGAAAGCGGCACUACGAGUUGGAGAAGGGCUGACCACGAGAUUUGAAUCAACAUAACCAUUUUCUAACUUCUAAGAAAUGCAGACUAAGCAAGAGGCAUAAAUGGAUCUCUUCCACCCAAUAGUUUGAACAAUAAACGCGGAAUGUUAAGUAAUGCCCUAGAAGUAGGGAAAGAACCCUAGAAUGAAGAAUGAAGGAAAUGGGGCAUUACCGGCAUCCAUGGGAAGAGAUCGGGAAGGAGGGGGCUUCCACGGAGAGAAUCCACGGAGAGCCCACGGAUCCGGAGUGCGAAGAGCACUCCGGGGCAGGGGCAAUGCCGACCGGCGGCUAGGGCACGAGAUGGCGAAGGACAGGGGAGGAGGGGAAAAUAAAACCCUUCAGCCCUGUCACUAUAUAUAUGCGCGCAGACGCGAAGCGGUUGUACCGCUUCCUGGUACGUGCUAGCGGUUGCGGGCGGUACUUCCAUCGCCUAGAAGGCAGCGGUAGUACCGCCUGUAACCAACUGGUAGUACCGGCCAGAAGCACAACCUGGGGUCGAGUGGUGAACCGCUCAAGCACCACUGGGAGUCCUCCUGGGACGGUACAACCCGAGUGUACCAGCGGUUGAACCGCUCGGGACACCGGUUGUACCGCCCAGUCAGCAUUACCCGAACCAAGAUCAAAUGUGUGCAAUUGGAUUAGAUGGUUUUAGGAGAAGGAGAAAGGCUUGGGAUGGAGCACGACACUGGAAUAUGGUGUGGUGACCUCCAAGAGGGCACAAGGCAACCAAACGGGAGAAACCACAACUUGGAGACCACAACACCUAGGACCUAACACAAGACUACGGCAAGAACCAAAGGAAAACCAAAGCCAACUCCCUUCAAAAGGGAGGGCGGUGGCCGAGGCCACCUAUGUUUGAGUGUAAGGUAUGGCAUCGCAAAGAUUUUAACCUUGGGCCCAUGACCAAAAAUCAUCUUUGAAGCACAAGUACCAUAAAAAAUGGCUGAUGUGAAAUAUUAGAUUAAUUUAUGCAUAAUGGGGGGAGGGAGAGUUCAUUGAGAGAACAACACUCCCCCUAUGUCCAUGCCUACACCUAAACAAGAUAACAAGUUGAGUAUGGUGGGGUGUGCAAGGGUUCAAGUAACAUUGCUCGAAUCAAUGAUAUUUAGCUCAUGCCUUAACUCGCGAAAUCUUGCUUCAUCCAAGGGCUUCGUGAAGAUAUCUGUAAGGUCAUCAUGAGUGUUGACAUAGUUGAGCUCGAUCUCCCCUCGCCUAAUAUGAUCCCGGAUGAAGUGAUAUAAUCUCAAUGUUCUUCGUCUUGAAGUGUUGCACCGGGUUGAGAGAAAUCUUGAUGGCACUUUCAUUGUCACACAAAAGAGGCACUUUGUCACAAAUGACACCAUAAUCCUUUAAAGAAUAGAAGUUGUGCACAACAACUACCUGCGGCCAAAUACUCUGCUUCGGUGGACGAGAGAGAUACACAACUUUUCUUCUUAGAGACCAACUCACCAAAGAGCAACCAGGGAAUUGGCACCCUCCGGAAGUUGACUUCCUAUCCACUUUAUCUCCCGCCCAAUCAGAGUCCGAAUAGCCUACAAGGUUGAAGCUUGCUCCUCUUGGGUACCAUAAGCCAAAGUUUGGGGUAUGAGCCAAAUAUCGAAAGAUUCGCUUGACCGCCACAAAGUGGCUUUCCUUAGGUGCGGCUUGAAAUCGUGCACAAAUUCCCACACUCAACAUGAUAUCCGAUCUAGAUGCACAAAGGUAAAGCAAGGAGCCAAUCAUGGAGCGAUAUACCUUUUGAUCCACCGCUUUACCAUUGGGAUCUAUGUCAAGUUGGCAUUUGACGGGCAUUGGAGUGGAAGCCGGCUUGACAUCACUUAGCUUGAAUCUCUUGAGCAUGUCUUGAGUGUAUUUGGCUUGGUUGAUGAAGGUUCCUUCUCUUCGUAGCUUGACUUCGAACCCGAGAAAGAACUUCAACUCUCCCAUCAUGGACAUCUUGAACUCUGAGGUCAUGAGAGCGGCAAAUUCCUCAUUGAAAGCUUUGUUAGGAGAACCAAAGAUAAUGUCAUCAACAUAUAGUUGGCACACAAACAACUCCCCUUUGACCUUCUUAGUAAAAAGAGUGGGGUCGAUUUUCCCAAUUUCAAACCCACGAUCUUGCAACAACUCGGUAAGGUGGUCAUACCACGCACGUGGGGCUUGUUUAAGGCCAUAGAGUGCCUUAUCAAGUUGGUACACAUGAUCGGGGAAAUAGGGAUCCUCGAACCCGGGGGGGUUGUUUGACAUACACCAACUCAUUAAUAGGACCAUUAAGAAAAGCACUCUUCACAUCCAUUUUUUGCAACUUGAAGUUAUGAUGAGAAGCAUAAGAAAUCAACAAACGAAUAGAUUCAAGGCGAGCAACGGGAGCAAAGGUUUCACCGUAGUCGAUACCCUCGACUUGGGAGUAGCUUUGUGCUACCAAGCGAGCCUUGUUGCGGACAAUAAUUCCAUGAGCAUCUUGCUUGUUCUUGAAUAUCCACUUGGUUCGAAUGACAUUAUGGUUCCCCGUUGGCCUUGGCACUAAUCUCCACACCUUGUUGUGCUCGAAGUUUUUGAGUUCUUCAUGCAUGGCAUUAAGCCAAUCCGGAUCUUCGAGCGCCUCAUAGACCUUUUGGGGUUCAACACAAGAGACAAACACGUGAUGUUCACAAUAGUUUGCCAAUUGUCUACGAGUGCUUACCCCCUUUCUUAUGCUUCCAAGCACAUUUGUCAUGAGAUGACCCUUGGUAGAUAGCUUGGAUGCAAUCUUGGCAGCACGACGCUCCAAUUCCUCCUCAGGAGUGAGUUGAGGAGCGGUUAUUUGAUCAUCUCGAGCGUCGUCAUGAGCUUGUUCUUGAUCUUGAGCUUGCUCGUGAUCUUGAACUUGCUCGGAGGAGAGAACUUGACCUUGGGCAUCACUUGGUGGUUCAACACCAUCUUGAGGUUGAUCUUGCCCUUGGUCUGGUUCAUGAUGUUGAGGGCCUUCACUUUGCUCUUCGGAAGCGUGUGGGCCUUGGGUUGGUGAUGGUUCCACUUUAGUGGAACAUUGUCCUUCUCCUUCGGCCACAAGGGGUUCCUCAAUGGGUAGGAUAAAACCAACACCCAUUCUUCUUAUGGCUUGGGGAGGAAUUUCAUCACCUACAUCACAAGUGCCACUUUGCUCCACUUGGGAGCCGUUAUUCGCAUCAAACUCCACGUUACACGUCUCCUCAAUAAGUCUCGUGGACUUAUUGAGGACACGGUAAGCAUGAGAGUUUGUAGCAUAACCAACAAAUAUGCCCUCUUGAGCUCUAGCCUCAAAUUUAGACAAACGAACACCUUUCUUGAGAAUGAAACACUUACACCCGAACACCCGAAAGUACUUGAGGUUGGGCUUGUUACCGGUGAGUAUCACAUAUGGAGUCUUGUUCAAGCCUUUGCGGAGAUAGAGCCGAUUGGAUGCAUGACAUGCAGUGUUGAUGGCUUCGGCCCAAAAGUUGUAUGGAGACUUGAACUCCGCCAUCAUGGUCCUUGCCGCAUCCAUCAACGUCCGGUUCUUCCUCUCCGCUACACCAUUUUGUUGAGGGGUGUAAGGUGCGGAAUAUUGAUGCUUGAUCCCCUCAUCACUAAGAAACUCAUCCAAGGUGUAGUUCUUGAACUCGGUGCCGUUGUCACUCCUUAUUGUCAAGAUCUUUGCAUCGUGCUGGCGUUGGGCUUCAUUUGCAAAGUCAACGACGGUUUGUUGGGUCUCACUCUUCCUCUUGAAGAAGUACACCCAAGUGUAUCUUGAAUACUCAUCCACAAUCACCAAGCAAUACUUUCUACCCCCAAGACUAUCAAAGGAUGGAGGCCCAAAGAGAUCCAAGUGAAGGAGCUCCAAAGGCCUCUUUGAGUAAAUGAUAGUCGUGGGAGGGUGAGCCUUCUCAUGUAACUUUCCUUCAAUACAAGCACUGCAAGCAUGAUCUUUGGCAAAACUAACAUUUGUUAGUCCACGGACAUGGUCCCCCUUGAGAAGACUUUGCAAAGAUCUCAUAUUGACAUGGGCUAAAUGGCGAUGCCAAAGCCAUCCCACGUCAACUUUAGCCAUUAGGCAUGUCGCGGUCUUAGUGGGUCGCUCCGAAAAGUUAAUCACAUAGAGACCGUUCUCGACAUGCCCAAAAAAGCUAAUUUAAGAGUCUUGCUCCACAAGAGGGCCACUGUAUCAAUAUCAAAGAAAGUGGCAAAGCCCAUGAUUGCAAGUUGACGAACGGAAAGUAAAUUGUAUGCAAGGGACUCAACAAGCAUGACCUUCUCGAUCAUGAGAUAAUGAGAAAUGACAACCUUGCCAAGUCCCGGUAUCUUAGAGGACGAGGCAUCACCCCACUCGACAUUGGUGGGCAUAGAUGGAAUCUUGUGCAUGUCCACCACCAAGUCCUUGCUUCCGGUCAUAUGAUAGUGGCUCCACUAUAGAGCAACCAUGAUCCCCACCGGAAGCAAACACCUACAAGAGAUCCAUGCUUGGUUUUAGGUACCCAUUUUGUAAUGGGUCAUUUGAUGUUAGUGACAAGGGUCUUAGGAACCCAAAUAGACCAUUCAAUGUACUCAUACGGAGAACCAACAAAUUUAGCAUAAACAUGCCCAUCACUAGCACGGCAUAACACAUAGGAAGGGUUAAAGUCGCCGGGUUGGAAGGGGUGGCAUUGCCCUUCUUGACACCACCACCCUUCACAUUGUUCUUCUUCUCCUUAGAGGCAUCCUCUCCCUCUUUGACAAAAGUUUGCUUGAGAGGAGGAGGUUGUUUGGCCUUGUCAUUCUUCUUCUUGUUCUUGGACUUGGGUGAGAACCCAAUCCCUUCCUUGGGCACAACUUCCUUUUGAUUACUCAAAAGGUCAUUGAGUUUCUUCUCACCUUGUAUGCACGACACAAGGCCUUUCUCAAGUUGCUCCUUCAACUUUCCAUUCUCCUCAAGUAGAUGCACAUGCUCACAACAAGGGUUAGUAGCAUUUCCAUUAUAAAUUAAAACCAUAUGUGGAAAAGUGGCUUUCUCCAUGGUUAGCUUCACUUGGAGUUGAUCAUGAGACUCCUUAAGACUAGCAUGCGUACCCUUCAAGGCCUUGUGAGCCUUGUAAAGAAUAUCAAAAUCCUCCUUGAGUCUAGCAAGAUCAACCCCAAGUUUGGCCUUCUCGAAAUUUAGCACACUAGAUACAACAAGAGCAUGAUCAAGAUCUUUCUUUAAUUUAGCACGGUCAUCGUUGUGUGACUCCUCAAGAGCCAAACGGUGACCGCGCUCUUCCUCAAGCGCAUUAGAGAGAUCCGAUAUCUCAUCGGCAUAGUCACGACUAUGCCCCUCAAUCUUAGAGAUGGUUUCUUCAUGAGCCUCAAUCAUGUAAUUGGCUUCACCAAGUUGUUCCAAGAGAGCAACAAAGUGCUUCUUGGAUUUACCCUUGAGCUUACUCAUAAAAGACUCAAAUUCAUUUUCCUCGUCAUUAGACCCCUCAUGUUCAUCAAUGCAAUCCGUCAAAGAAGGAUUAGUAAUGAUGGUAGUUUUGAUGUUGCGGGUUACCUUGUUGGUGGCUUUAGCCUUGAGGCACUUGGCGGUGAUGUUCUCAUUUGGUGAGUCGAAGAGAGACACCCGUGGAGUUGUUGCAAUGGAAACGGAGGCCAUGGCAACCGACUCACCGUCUUCAUCAUCAUCAUCAUCCUCAUUGUACUCUUCUUGUGCCACCAACCCCUUGGGAGGAGUCUUCUUGGUGAAGUUGCUCUUGUUAGGGAAGGACUUGGCCUUGUCUUUUCGGAUGAGCUUGCCACCAUUGUCUUCCCUCUUCUCAUAUGGGCACUCCGCAACAAAGUGGCUCACAUUGCCACAAUUAUAGCAAGUCCUCACUCGUUGCUUGCCCUUCGCGCCACUUGAGUUGUUCUUGUUGAAGUUGGGCCUUGUGUUCUUCUUGCUCCAAAAUUGCCUUGAAGCGAGAGCCAUGUGCUCAUGAUAAGCAUAUUUUGUAUCUUCGGGAUUGCUCUCCUCUUCUUCCUCUUCAUCCUCUUCUUCCACACUAACCUUGGCCUUCAAAGCAAGAUUGGGCUUCUUAGCUCUUUGAGAACGCAACGCCGCAUUGUCGGCGGUCUUGUCCAAGAUCCUCAUUGCCACAAACUCAUCCAACACUUCACUUGAGGACAAGGUGUGGAAGUCCGACCUUUGAUGGAUGGCGGAGGACAUGGCCUUGUGGUAAGGCAUCAUGGCCUUGAGGAACUUGCGCUUGAUCCAAUUGUCAUCCGUAUCCUUGCUCCCAUGAUCUCGGAGUAAGACCGCGAGAGUGGUUAAACUCCGGUAAAGCUCACGAGGUUCUUCAUCUUCAUUCAUUGCAAACUCAUCGGCUUCGUCUUGCACCACUUCAUAGUUGGAGCGUUGAAUGCUUGCGGAUGGAAUUGCAUCUUGGUCAUGGUGAAAGGUCGGAGAUGUGCAAGAUCUUCGGAUGGAAUUUCAUCUUGGAUGAUGAAGAGAGAAUUCUCGUUGAAUUGAUGAUCGACGGCUUCUCUAGGGUUGAGUUGCUUGGGUCAUGCGGAUAAAAACCUUGCUCAAUGAUUCUCCAAAGAUUAGUAUUAACAUGAUUUAAAUGACGUUUAAAGCGAUAUACCCAAGCGUCAAAAUCCUCAUUUUUCACAAUCUUAGGAGGAGGGCCGCCAUGAUUUAAAUGAGUGGAGGGAAUAGGUCCUCCAUAAAUAGGAGGAGGUUCCACAUGGGCAAAGAUGCCACUACCAUUUCUACCACUAGACACAGGAACUUUCUCACACUACUAGGAAAAGGGCUAUAGCUAAUAUGGACAUUAAUGGCGCACCAUGUAUGUGGUGCGCCACUGCUAUAUAGCAGUGGCGCACCAGAUACAGGUGCGCCAUUAGUGUCCUUAUUACAAAUGGCGCACCAGACACACGGUGCGCCAUUACUAGCAAAUUUUAUUUUUGUUAUUUUUCCAAAACUUUUAAUGGCACACCAGGGCACAGUGCGCCAUUACUAGUUUUAACUAGUAAUGGCGCACCACACGCUCUGUGCGCCACUACUAUUUUUUUAUUACUUUUUUUGUUCAAAACUACUAAUGGCGCACCAUGGUUGUGGUGCGGCAUUACUAGUUCAAACUAGUAAUGGCGCACCGUGGUUGUGGUGUGUCAUUACUAGUUCAAACUAGUAAUGGCGCACCACAACCACGGUGCGCCACUACUAACAAUUUUUUUUGCAAAACUAGUAAUGGCGCACCCCUAACUGGUGCGCCAUUAGUAACCAGGGUUACUAAUGGCACAUUUUUAGGUGGUGCGCCGUUAGUAACCUGAGACCAGCUAGAUAUUUUGGUCAGCCACCUACCACACUCACUUUCCCCACUUCAUUCUCUCCACCUCCUCCUCCAAGCUUGUCUCGGCUGCCUCCUCCUCCUCACCUCAUUUGCACCAUAGAUUCACCCAAAUUAAGUGGUUAAAUUACCUUUUUUUGAUAGGUAAGUAAGGGGAAAGCUUUCUUUAUGUUGUAGAUCUACUUUUUUCUCCCUCCAACAACGUGCACAUGCACUUUUUAUGGCCUGGCUAGAUCUACGUAUGUUUGUGGUGUUGCAUAUAUGUUUGUGUUUGCAGAUACCGGUAUUUGAAAUGCGAUAGUUGCCAAUAUUUUGCCGGAAUGUUGAUUCAUUUCUGUUUCGGCGAGAAUUUGGCACUAUGCAUUCUUUUUGGUCCUAUUUUUAGGCAAAGUCAUGCCAAAAAUUUUAUGGUUCUAAAAUAUCGUUUUGCUCUACCCGCAGGCGACCAUGGUCCGCACGAUGACCGAAGGCAUCGUGAAUAGGUUUUUGAGCUCCGCGAAGGCCGAGAUGCUUCAAAAGAACAAGACAGAGAUAAGAUGUCUGUGUCGAAGAUGCAAGCUGAAGAGCCUUAUUGCGGACCCGGAUUCUGGGCAGGUGCGGGACCACCUGCUCUUGCGUGGUUUCAUGGAUGGCUAUCGGUGGCAAGGUGAUGAAGAUGACUAUGAAGUCGUCCAUGGGGGCCGGGCAAGAAAUGAGGAAGGGCAGCAAGACAACCACCACGGCGAGGGCGGGCGAGAAGACGAAGAAUCUCCAGGACAUGAUCACGACGGUGAUGCAGUACACUGUCAUCAUGUAGAAGAUGCCGGACAUGAUGAUGAGGAAGAUCAAGACGAAGGGCAUGAUCAUGAAGAUGAAGAUGCCGGAGCAGACGACGAUGGACCAUCGAUGGGAUGGGUGCAGGACCCUCAUAUUCAAGAGCUGCUUCUCAAGCAGGCGGAUGAUGCAAGAGCUGCCGCCCGAGAGAAAGCCAAGCUGGAUCAACUGGAGAUAGACGCGGUUACUCCAUUGUAUGAAGGAUGCAGGCCCGAGGAUACCCGCCUGAAAGUAACGCUCAUGGCUCUGGAGAUGAAGGUAAAACACAAAAUGACCGACGCAUGCUUCGACGAGAACAUGUCAUUCUGGCACGAACGUCUUCCCAAGGGGAACAAGUGCCCGACCAGUUUCGAGGAGGCGAAGAAAAUCAUGUGUCCUCUGGAUUUACCGCACGUGAAAUACCAUGUAUGCAUGAACAAUUGCAUCAUUUAUCGGGACGACCACGCAGAGUCUACCAUAUGUCCGGCGUGCGGCGUCACUCGAUACAAGAAGAGGAAGAAAGCUCCUCGAAAAGUGGUGUGGUACUUUCCGAUCACUCCUCGUCUGCAGCGGUAUUUCGCGGACCCUAAGCGAGCAAAGCUCCUGCGUUAGCACGCGGAUAGGGAGGAGAAGAAGCGAGAAGAUGACGGAAAUGAUCCGGAGAUAAAUUAAAAAGACAAGAUGCUGAGUCACCCUAAGGAUGCGAGCGAGUGGCAAGCGUUGAACUUCGAACACCCAGAAUUUGGGGACGAUCCAAGGAACAUCGUGCUGGGCGCGAGCACCGAUGGAGUCAAUCCGUUUGGCAGCCAGAGAAGCACACAUAGCACCUGGCCUGUGUUUGUGUGGAUGUACAACCUUCCCCCCUGGUUGUGCAUGAAGAGGAAGUACAUUCACAUGAGUAUGCUAAUUGAAGGGCCGAAACAACCAGGGAACAACAUCAAUCUGUAUCUGGGGCUGCUGAAAGAGGAGCUAGACACGCUAUGGAAAUGCCAGCCAAUACAUGGGACGCCGCAGAGAAAGAAUAUUUCCCUAUGAGAGCCGCACUGCUCACGACGGUGCACGACUAUCUCGGUUACGGAUAUCUCGCGGGCAGGUGGUCCACUGAUUUUCUGGAUGCGUCAGGUGCAUGGAUGACACAACGUAUCGCCAGCUAGAUAGAGAUCCCGGGUCUUCGAAAACCGUGUUCAUGGGACAUCGAAGGUGGCUUCGCGACGAUGACCCAUGGAGAAAACGCAAGGAUCUGUUCGAUGGUGAAACCGAACCCCGAAGACGCCCGCGUACGAGGAGCGGCGAGGAAAUAGAUGAGCUGUUGAAAAAUUGGAAAGAUUGCCCACUGUCGGGAAAGAAGCAAAAGGCGCCAGAGCCGGGAAAGAAGCGAAAGGCGCCAGAGCCGCUGCUGAAGGUAUGGAAAACGAGGUCUGUUUUCUGGGACUUGCCGUACUGGAAGAUCCUCCGUGUGCCUCACAGCCUUGAUGUCAUGCAUAUCACGAAGAACGUGUGCGAGAGUCUGCUUGGUACCCUGCUCAACAUGCCAGAGAGGACCAAAGAUGGGCCGAAAGCAAGGGCAGACUUGAAAUCAAUGGGCAUCAGGGAGGAGCUUCAUGCUAAUGAUGAUGAUGAUGAUGAUGAUGAGGCGAAGCAGGACACGGAAAGUCGUCGCAAAGGCAAAAAGGCCAAGAAGACCGGAAAUGACUACCCUCCCGCGUGCUUCACUCUAAGUCAGGAGGAGAUCGAGCAGUUUUUCACCUGCCUCGUAGGAGUAAAACUUCCUUACGGUUACGCGGGGAAGAUAAGCAGAUACCUAGACUCAGCGAAGCAGAAGUUCAGCGGGAUGAAGUCUCACGACUGUCACGUGCUGAUGACGCAGAUACUUCCAGUUGCAAUCCGUGGGAUCAUGGACGCGCACGUCUGUGAAACGCUAUUUGGCCUAUGCAACUAUUUCGACGUCAUCUCUCGGAAGUCGGUUGGCGUGAGGCAACUCAGAAGGCUAUAGGAAGAGAUCGUGGUGAUACUAUGCGAGCUUGAGAUGUACUUCCCGCCCGCAUUCUUCGAUGUUAUGGUGCAUCUGCUGGUCCAUAUCGUGGAGGAUAUCAUCCAACUCGGGCCGACGUUCCUGCACAGCAUGAUGCCGUUCGAAAGGAUGAAUGGUGUCAUCAAAGGAUACGUUCGCAACAUGUCACGUCCAGAGGGAAGCAUAGCCAGGGGCUUUCUGACUGAAGAGUGCAUCUCCUACUGCACGAAUUAUCUAGGCAUCGAGAACCCCGUUGGUCUGCCCGUCAACAGGCACCUUGGCAGGCUCGCUGGAUGGGGUCACCGCGAUGGUCGCCGCGAAAUGCAUGUCGACUUCGAGGGUCGACUCGCCGACUUUGAAAGAGCAAACCUAGUCGCGCUACAACACAUAGACGUGGUCGAUCCUUAGGUGGUAGAGCACAAAACCUUUAUUGAGAAGACGUACAAUGACCGAGGCCAACAGAGGACGGACGGAGAUAUAAUCAAAGAGCACAACUCAUGUUUCACGCGUUGGUUCAAGGAGAAGCUUCUGUCGUACCCUUUACAUGAGGAUUCUUCCGCGGAAGAAAAACUCAUAUUCGCCUUGUCACAGGGCGCCGAGCACAACCUGAUGACCUAUGAGGCGUACGAUAUCAACGGCUAGACAUUCUACACCGAGGACAAGGACAUGAAGGGCGAUGGUUAUCAGAACUCCAGGGUAACGAUGGAAUCCUACACCGGUAACGACAAGGACAGAUACUACGGAAGGAUUGAGGAGAUCUGGGAACUGAGCUACGCUGGAGAGAAGGUCCCGAUGUUCCGUGUUAGAUGGGCCAAGAGCGUCAUAAAAGAAGACCGGUAUUUCACCACCAUGGUUAUACCCGAAGCCAAAUCCAAGACCGCAGGCGCAAACGUCACCGCGAAAAAUGAGCCAUGGAUACUGGCUUCCCAAGUGGACCAAUGCUUCUUCAUUACCGACCCAUCAAAGCCCAGUCGUGUUGUCGUGAGGAGAGGCAAAAGGAAGAUCAUCAGAAUGGAUGGAGUCGCCAAUGAGCAAGACUUCGACAAGUACGGCGACCCGAAGAUGGAACAUGACGACGACGAUGAAGUGCCAUACACCACAAGAAGAAGCAGGACCACCCUACCUAAAGGACGUCCGUUCCACAAAAGAACUCCAUUUGCGAAAAAGAAGGGCAAGAAGAUUGUGAAAAGAGAGCUAGCUAAAAUCGAUUGUAUUUAAAUCAUAGUCUUCAUUUCUCGAUUGUAAUUCGACAUAUUGAAAUGAUAUUUCUUCUGUUCUAGUCCUCAUGAAUAUUUAUUUAUGUUCAUUAUGGUAUUGAAUUUCUAACUCACAAAAAGUAUUGAAUUUGUUAAUAUUUUUUGAAUUCAUGAAUAUUUUUAAAUUUCAUGGGCAUGUUUUGAAUUCAUGAAUAUUUUUUAAAAUUUGAUGAUAUUCUUUCAUAUUCAUAAAUGUUUUACCAAUUCACAAAUGAAUGCAACUAAAAAUCCAAAAAAACAAAUUUGAUGAUAUUUUCAAAUAACAAAUUUGAUGAUAUUUUUAAAAAAUGAUUACUGUUUUUAUAAAAAAAUAUUACUGUUUCAUAUUCAUAUUCAUUUUCUAAAAAAUUAUUAGACGCAACAAAAAAUAAUAAUAAAAAAAGUUACUAAUGGCGCACCAGAGGUGGGUGCGCCAUUGCUAUCACUGUUUUUAUAAAAAAUUAUUACUGUUUCAUAUUCAUAUUCUUUUUCUAAAAAAUUAUUAGAUGCAACACAAAAAAAAAAUAAAAAAAA
rnacentral:lncRNA from 1 species